rnacentral:rRNA from 1 species
GAUGAACGCUGGCGGCGUGCUUAACACAUGCAAGUCGAACGGAAAGGCUCCUGCUUGCAGGGGUACUCGAGUGGCGAACGGGUGAGUAACACGUGGGUGAUCUGCCCUGCACUUCGGGAUAAGCCUGGGAAACUGGGUCUAAUACCGGAUAGGACGAUGGUUUGGAUGCCAUUGUGGAAAGUUUUUUCGGUGUGGGAUGAGCUCGCGGCCUAUCAGCUUGUUGGUGGGGUAAUGGCCUACCAAGGCGUCGACGGGUAGCCGGCCUGAGAGGGUGUACGGCCACAUUGGGACUGAGAUACGGCCCAGACUCAUACGGGAGGCAGCAGUGGGGAAUAUUGCACAAUGGGCGCAAGCCUUAUGCAGCGACGCCGCGUGGGGGAUGACGGCCUUCGGGUUGUAAACUCCUUUCGCUAGGGACGAAGCGCAAGUGACGGUACCUUGAGAAGAAGCACCGGCUAACUACGUG